UGGCCAUAUCACAUUGAAACACAGGUUCCCAUAUGACUACUGAAGUUAAGCAACAUCAAGUCUGGUUAGUACUUAGAUGGGUGCCAACUUUGGAAUACCAGU